rnacentral:rRNA from 1 species
GAUGAACGCUGGCGGCGUGCCUAAUACAUGCAAGUCGAGCGAACAGACGAGGAGCUUGCUCCUCUGACGUUAGCGGCGGACGGGUGAGUAACACGUGGAUAACCUACCUAUAAGACUGGGAUAACUUCGGGAAACCGGAGCUAAUACCGGAUAAUAUAUUGAACCGCAUGGUUCAAUAGUGAAAGACGGUUUUGCUGUCACUUAUAGAUGGAUCCGCGCCGCAUUAGCUAGUUGGUAAGGUAACGGCUUACCAAGGCAACGAUGCGUAGCCUACCUGAGAGGGUGAUCAGCCACACUGGAACUGAGACACGGUCCAGACUCCUACGGGAGGCAGCAGUAGGGAAUCUUCCGCAAUGGGCGAAAGCCUGACGGAGCAACGCCGCGUGAGUGAUGAAGGUCUUCGGAUCGUAAAACUCUGUUAUUAGGGAAGAACAAAUGUGUAAGUAACUAUGCACGUCUUGACGGUACCUAAUCAGAAAGCCACGGCUAACUACGUG